UCAGCCCCCACCACUCUCGGGGUGACAACCAGUGAUUGCCAUCCUUGCUUCUCGAAGGUAUUAUUUCCUCCUCGCGUCGUCAAGCCCAAGGGUGUCGUCAAGCCCGGACCUAUCCUCCUCAUCGUCGCCAGAAGUUCAUCAAGCCCAGAUCUGUCAUCGUUGUUGUCGAGCCCGAGAGUGCCAUCGUUGCCGCCGAACGUUUCUGUUGCUCGACGUCGCGAACGUCUACUCAGCCUUGUUCUCCUCGUUGUCGCAAACAUGCAUGUUCUCCUCACCGUCGUUCCAGUGCCUCCAGAAGCUUCCUUCCUCCAACAACAAGUUCACCUACAAUUGCGACAACCACACCUUCAACUUCCUCGUCAAUAAUGGCUCACUUACUGUGUUGUUGCGGAUGAAUUUGCUGGAAG